rnacentral:rRNA from 1 species
UACGUAGGAGGCAAGCGUUGUCCGGAAUUACUGGGUGUAAAGCGCGUGUAGGCGGCAGCCAAGUCUGUGGUGAAAUCGCUCGGCUCAACUGGGCGGGGUCCAUGGAAACUGGUCAGCUGGAGGACGGUAGAGGUGAGUGGAAUUCCCGGUGUAGUGGUGAAAUGCGUAGAGAUCGGGAGGAACACCCGUGGCGAAGGCGGCUCACUGGGCCGGUCCUGACGCUGAGACGCGAAGGCGUGGGGAGCGAACGGG